rnacentral:lncRNA from 1 species
UAACAUUAUAUUUGUAUUAUUUUUUUGUCAACAUUAUAUUUUAUUGAAACCCAAGAGUUGAAAGUGUACAAAUAAUAAAGGCAACACACGAUUACAAGAUACGUGUAAGUUCUGCUCAACAAAGACAAGACACGUGUCAAAAAGAAGUCAUGCAUCUUGAAUCUUCUAGCUUCUCCGGUAAUUUUCACGGCCUUCAUCACCAACGACUUUCUCUAUCUCCAACGCUUUGAAUGUCGCCUUAAUUUGUACCCUCAACUCACUUUUUCGCUCUAACCGCUGCUUCAAAUUGGGACUUAAGACAUUCUUUGGUGAUUUAUCACUGGGAAUACUCAAUCAUAUUAGAGAAAGCUUUUUACUGGACCAUCUUCAAACAGGAAGAUGUCAAUUCUACUAAGCCUCUCAUACAACGAUUGAUAUUAACCCUAACAACUCCAUCUUUCUUUCCAUCUGAGAUACUUCACUCAGUUCAUAUGAGAUACUUCACUCAGUUCACUCAGUUCAUAAGGGGAAGAUUUACACUCAUAGAAAAGAGAUUAGAGCAUAACCUAAGAAGAAAAGAACCCAAAUCGAAACAAACGGGAUAUACAAAAGAAAAGGGGUGGUGACCGGCGGCGGGCCACCGGAAACGAUAUAAACUUUUGAAAACUUGUGGAAACUUCCCUCUUUUCUCUGUUUAAAAGAAACAAUCUACAUUAUAUUUGUAUAUAGAGUGAUUUACACUAUAGGGCAG